rnacentral:rRNA from 1 species
AUUGAACGCUGGCGGCAGGCCUAACACAUGCAAGUCGAGCGAGCGGCGGACGGGUGAGUAAUGUCUGGGAAACUGCCUGAUGGAGGGGGAUAACUACUGGAAACGGUAGCGAAUACCGCAUACUAUCAGAUGUGCCCAGAUGGGAUUGGCUAGUAGGUGGGGUAAUGGCUCACCUAGGCGACGAUCCCGAGCUGGUCUGUGCAGAUGACCAGCCACACUGGAACUGAGACACUGUCCAGACUCCUGCGGGAGGCAGCAGUGGGGAAUAUUGCACAAUGGGCGCAAGCCUGAUGCAGCCAUGCCGCGUGUGUGAAGAAGGCCUUCAGUUUUUAAAGCACUUUCAGCGGUGAGGCGUUACCCGCAGAAGAAGCACCGGCUAACUCCGUGCCAGCAGCCGCGGUAAUUC